GAUGAACGCUGGCGGCGUGCCUAAUACAUGCAAGUCGAGCGAACAGAUGAGGAGCUUGCUCCUCUGACGUUAGCGGCGGACGGGUGAGUAACACAUGGAUAACCUACCUAUAAGACUGGGAUAACUUCGGGAAACCGGAGCUAAUACCGGAUAAUAUAUUGAACCGCAUGGUUCAAUAGUGAAAGACGGUUUUGCUGUCACUUAUAGAUGGAUCCGCGCCGCAUUAGCUAGUUGGUAAGGUAACGGCUUACCAAGGCAACGAUGCGUAGCCGACCUGAGAGGGUGAUCGGCCACACUGGAACUGGGACACGGUCCAGACUCCUACGGGAGGCAGCAGUAGGGAAUCUUCCGCAAUGGGCGAAAGCCUGACGGAGCAACGCCGCGUGAGUGAUGAAGGUCUUCGGAUCGUAAAACUCUGUUAUUGGGGAAGAACAAAUGUGUAAGUAACUAUGCACGUCUUGACGGUACCUAAUCAGAAAGCCACGGCUAACUACGUG
rnacentral:rRNA from 1 species